UUACCUAUUUUUUUCCUACCCUCUCUUUUUUAAAAUUGAUUAUGGUCAUCCUAUUCUUUUAGAUUUGACCAGUGUAUAGGAAGGGAUCUUUUUCUAUUAUCAGAUAUCAGACCCAAGUCUUGUGAUAGAUAUGAUAUACGGACAAAUGGGCAUCGGAAUACCAAUUGGAAUGAUUCACAAUCCAUAGCAUUACUCAUACUGAUACUAAGAAAGUCUUCUUUUUAAAGAUUUGAAGAUCCAAGAGAUUCCCUCUUCUUUUAAUACAAUACUUAAUUAAUACUUAAUACUUUAAAAUGCUUAAGACUUUGCCCUUUCUUUUUUUUUUUUUUGAAUUGACAUAGACCCAAGCCCUCUCGUAAAAUGAGUAUGAUGCAUCGCGAAUGGUCAGGG
rnacentral:misc_RNA from 1 species